rnacentral:rRNA from 1 species
UGUGUAGGCGGUGUUCUAAGUUUGUCGUGAAAUCUCCCGGCUUAACUGGGAGGGUGCGGCGAAAACUGGAAUGCUAGAGGAUGGGAGAGGUAAGCGGAAUUCCUGGUGUAGCGGUGAAAUGCGUAGAUAUCAGGAGGAACACCUGUGGUGUAGACAGCUUACUGGACCAUUUCUGACGCUGAGACACGAAAGCGUGGGUAGCAAACA